GACAUCAGGACAAACGAACCUACCUUUACUUACAAUUAAGUCACUGAGCCAGUGUUUCAUAUCUUUGUGACAAUAUGUAGAUCUCUUUGUGACUUUUAGGAUAGAGUUAUGUGUAAAAGCAGAUAGAUCUUUGUAAAAGGAUCAAGUGUUUUCUGGUAGUGUGAAAGAGUAGAUUUCUGUUUGAUAUCAUUGUAUGGGUGCUGUCUGAGAGUAUGAUACUAGGAUAUAAUUCUUUUACAAAAAAUUAAAAUACGGUGAUGUCUGAAAGGAUGGAAUCCUAAUAGGAUAGACUGAUGUCUGACAGCGAGAUGACCUGGAGUAUUGUCUCAAAAUAUCAAAGUGUUUUGACAGUGUGAGAAAGUGUAUUGUUAGGACAUUGUGAUACAUGUAGUGUGGAAGUAUGAUGUUGUGUGACAGUGUGAUGAGGUAUAUUGUUUUGUGGUGAGCUGUAAUGCUGUGUAAUGAGGUAUAUUGUUGUUUUGAUGAGGUAAACUGCUGUGUGACAGUGUGAUGAGGUAUACUGUUGUGCGACAGUGUGAUGAGGUAUAUUGCCAUGUGAUGAGGUAUUUGCUGUGUGAUCAAAUAUAUUUUGUGUGACAGUGUUGUUAGGUAUAUUGCCAUGUGACAGUGUGAUGAGGUAUACUGGUAUGUGAUGAGCUAUGUGUGAUAAGGUAUAUUGUUGUUGGGAUGAGGUAUGAUCCUGCUGUGUGACAGUGUGAUACGGUAUACUGCUGUGUGACAGUGAUAUAGGAGACAGUACUUUUCAAAGUGUUAACUAUGUGAUGAGCUAUGUGUGAUAAGGUAAUAUUGUUGUUGGGAUGAGGUAUGAUCCUGCUGUGUGACAGUGUGAUACGGUAUACUGCUGUGUGACAGUGAUAUAGGAGACAGUACUUUUCAAAGUGUGAACUAUAUCCCUAUAUCAUGUAUCUUAUCUUUUUGUUUACAUCAACAUUAAUGUGACACGUUCUUGACAUAUUCUGAAAUCAAUAUGAAUUGUAAUAUUUAUAAGCUAUAAUGAUAUAUAAAUAUUGCAAUCGAUUACGAAAAUAACUUUCUUUAACAAUUAAUACAAUAUUUCAUACCAUAUUUUCUUGGUUUAAAAAAUGUGUAUAUAUUCAUUUCUAAUUUUUAUUUUAUCUUAUUUUUAAAAUUUAUCUAUCUAAUACUUUAUUCUUUUUUUAAAUUUGAUUACACUGAAGUAUUACAUGUACAUGUGUCAAAUUAUUUACAUUAAAAAUCUCCUCU
rnacentral:misc_RNA from 1 species